rnacentral:rRNA from 1 species
UACGAAGGGAGCUAGCGUUGUUCGGAAUCACUGGGCGUAAAGCGCACGUAGGCGGAUUUGUCAGUCAGGGGUGAAAUCCCGGGGCUCAACCUCGGAACUGCCUUUGAUACAGCAAGUCUUGAGUUCGAGAGAGGUGGGUGGAAUUCCUAGUGUAGAGGUGAAAUUCGUAGAUAUUAGGAAGAACACCGGUGGCGAAGGCGGCCCACUGGCUCGACACUGACGCUGAGGUGCGAAAGCGUGGGGAGCAAACAGG